CAGGGACGGUGGGUCCGGGUCCCUGACGUUCCAUUUGUUUCUUGGCAGAACCGAAACUUGCUGAUUCCCUGACUCCUUUCUCAGGCUUUCCCAGGCCUUUGAGGGUUCUGGACUGUUCAGGAGGGCUUUAUCUAGCAUUCUCUGCGGACAGAAGAAGACAGCCAUGAACUUGGUGUCUGCAUUCCUAGAGGGGGCCGAGUGUGAUGACUCAGGCAAUCUGAGCCUCAGCUUCCUGAGCUCUAGGGACAAGGCUCGCGGAAGGAUCAGGUGGGAAUUCUUUGCAAAGUGCUUCUGGGUAAGGAACUGCUCAGGCACAGAACCGCCCGCCCAGGUGAGAGGAGGGCCUGGCUCUCUGGCUGUGCCGGGCCAGUUCUUCUGCAGACAGACAAAUGGGCCUUCCACAUGGAUCUUCCUCCUGGCUGUGUCUGACGUGAGCGGCCAGGCCCUCGUGGGCUUGGAAUUUCUCGUGAUCAGGAGGUGCAAAAAUCCCAGCGCAGCCAGGUUUUCGUCCCAGGACAGCGCUCACCUGUGACGUCACUCACCUGUGACGUCACUGCUGCCGCACUUCCGGCCCGCGCUGCAGCUCGCCAGUUCCCGGGACGCGUGAGGAUCUGUUUGCAGCGGGAUCUGUGUCAAUAACACGAGAGUGUCUUUGCUGCUUAUCUAGCGAGAGCAGAGUGGACAGUGAGAGAGAGAGACAGAGAGAAAGGUCUUCCUUUGCCAUUGGUUCACCCUCCAAUGGCUGCCGCGGCCUGCGCACUAAGGAGGAUGGAUGGUAGAAGGCGUGCAGAGGAAGGAUCCCAUGGAAAAAAAUGUAAAAAAAUCUGAAGCAAAUAUUUCAAAAGAGUGACAUUUGGAUAUCUGAGAGGACAAAUUUGCCCUCUGCUGAGUCAGCACAUCACAGUGUGCCCCUGCACCAGUGACAUCUGUCUUAGAGAACCCGUGCACCGAGCCGGCCACUCCCUGAUUGUUUUCGGUCUCUGCAGUCAUUCUGUGCCGUGAGGCGGAGGUUCCAAGGGGGCGGUUUCACAUCCUGGGCUGCCGCUCUGAGUCUGUGCACACCCCGUGCCGUUACCUAGCAGGCUCGCCUGUGACCUGUGUCAUGACCUUGCUGCGUGCGAAACGAGGAUGAGAAGUUUUGGCUUUGGAACUGAGAGCAAUGAAAGAGGAGGAAUUCAACUGCAGCUCCAGAGCCAUGGGCAGGGGGCCCUGCAGGCUUCUUAGAAGGAAUCCCAGGUACGCUGUGAUUGCUUUGCAUGCCUGGUCUAAACAAGCCAGGUGAUUGGCCUGGGCUCAAAGGACCAGCUCUCAUGCCAGGUGUCCCAACACUUCCAUCAGAUUACCCAGGUGGCAUGGGGCCCCUCUUGUUUCGUCUUCUUUGAAUCCUGGACACCACACUGCUUCACCGUCUGCCUUACACGCCUCUCCAGGAGGUGUGUCUACAAAAGUCAGAGUCCCCAUUAUCCCCCCAGAACCGUCUUGUGGUCCAGAGAGCAGGUGUGAGCGAGCCGAGGUGGUGCAGGCCUGGCUGCCUGCGUCUUCUGUCCCCGUCAGCAUCAGGGCCCUGCUUCAGCACUCUCUGUGUCUUCAGCCCUUUGGGCCUCCAGGAAACAUUAUGAGUUAAUUAUUUCUCAGGGCUGACUCAGACAGUGGUUUUUUUUUUUUUUUCUUCCAGAGAAUUCUGUCAGCC